UACGUAGGGGGCAAGCGUUGUCCGGAAUCAUUGGGCGUAAAGAGCGCGUAGGCGGUCCGGUAAGUCCGCUCUGAAAGUCCGGGGCUCAACCCCGGGAGGCGGGCGGAUACUGUCGGGCUAGAGUCCGGAAGAGGCGAGCGGAAUUCCUGGUGUAGCGGUGAAAUGCGCAGAUAUCAGGAGGAACACCAAUGGCGAAGGCAGCUCGCUGGGACGGUACUGACGCUGAGGCGCGAAAGCGUGGGGAGCAAACAGG
rnacentral:rRNA from 1 species